rnacentral:rRNA from 1 species
AUGAACGCUGGCGGCGUGCCUAACACAUGCAAGUCGAACGGAGUGUAGACGCUGUGCGAAGAAGUGCUUGCACGGAUUCAAACUUGUUACACUUAGUGGCGGACGGGUGAGUAACGCGUGGAAAACCUGCCUCAUACAGGGGGAUAACAGGAAGAAAUUCCUGCUAAUACCGCAUGAGCGCACACUGUCGCAUGGCAGAGUGUGAAAAGAUUUAUCGGUAUGAGAUGGUUCCGCGUCUGAUUAGCCAGUUGGCGGGGUAACGGCCCACCAAAGCGACGAUCAGUAGCCGGCCUGAGAGGGCGGACGGCCACAUUGGGACUGAGACACGGCCCAGACUCCUACGGGAGGCAGCAGUGGGGGAUAUUGCACAAUGGAGGCAACUCUGAUGCAGCGACGCCGCGUGGGUGAAGAAGUUAUUCGUAAUGUAAAGCCCUAUCAGCAGGGAAGAUAAUGACGGUACCUGACUAAGAAGCCCCGGCUAACUACGUGCCAGCCGCCGC